rnacentral:rRNA from 1 species
AUCARGUUCGAUUCCGGAGAGGGAGCCUGAGAAACGGCUACCACAUCCAAGGAAGGCMGCARGCGCGCAAAUUACCCAAUCCAGACAUUGGGAGGUAGUGACGAGAAAUACCGGAGUGGAACAUAUUGKUGCACGACCGGAAUGAACGUAAUCUAAUAAUUUCGAUGAGUAUCUACUGGAGGGCAAGUCKGGUGCCAGCAGCCGCGGUAAUUCCAGCUCCAGUAGUGUAUAUCAAAAUUGUUGCGGUUAAAACGCUCGUAGUUGGAUUACGGAGGCCUCAAUUAUUGCAUAAUUCUGUGUAGUAAGGUAGGCCUUCUUCAUCGCAAGAUUUGUUUGUGGACUUUAUUGGCUACAAAUAAGAACUUGCGGAGCGUGCCUUGAAUAAAGCAUAGUGCUCAAAGCAGGCGUACGCUCGAGUGUAAUAGCAUGGAACGAAUAGUUAAACUUUGGUUUAGUUUGUUGGUUAUAAUUUGGGCGCAAGUUCAAAUUCUAAACUGGGUUUAGAUUAAAAGGGACACUUGAGGGCAUUAGUACUUUGUGGCGAGAGGUGAAAUUCUUUGACCCACAAAAGACUGACUAUUGCGAAAGCAUUUGCCAAGAAUGUUUUCAUUAAUCAAGAACGAAAGUCAGAGGUUCGAAGACGAUCAGAUACCGUCCUAGUUUUGACAGCAAACAAUGCUACCACGGGAUCAGUCCGGAACGAUCCAGGUUGGUCCCCCCGGGAAACCUAAAGGGUUCUAGUUCCGGGGGGAGUAUGGUCGCAAGGCUGAAACUUAAAGGAAUUGACGGAAGGGCACCACCAGGAGUGGAGCCUGCGGCUUAAUUUGACUCAACACGGGACAACUCACCAGGUCCAGACAUUGAAAGGAUUGACAGACUGAGAGAUCUUUCAUGAUACAGUGAAUGGUGGUGCAUGGCCGUUCUUAGUUGGUGGAGUGAUCUGUCAGGUCUAUUCCGGUAACGAGCGAGACCACGAUCUCUAUUUAAUUAAUGUGCUACUCUCAUUUCGGUGGGUAUACGUUUGCGCCUUAUCAUAGAGAGACUACCGGAGGUAAAGCCGGGGGAAGCGUGGCAAUAACAGGUCUGUGAUGCCCUUCGAUGUCCUGGGCUGCACGCGCGCUACAAUGGCAGUGACAAAGAGUUGACCUGCUCUGAGAAGAGUGGGAAAUCUUGUAAAUCGSUGUCGUAAUUGGGAUUGAGCCUUGUAAUUAUUGCUCAUGAAAGAGGAAUCCUC